ensembl:lncRNA
CACUGCAACAAACACUGGACUGUGCACGCAGCUUAAUAAUAGUCUUUGGAAUAGUUCUUUAUAAUGAGUGUAGCAGAACAGAUAAGCGUGGAGAAUGAAGAUCUCCAUGUAGACAGGGCAGGGGUGUAGGACAACCAGUGGCAGAGCAAUCAUAGAAUUGCUUAGGUUGGAAAAGACUUUAAAGAUCACCUCGUCCAACCACAAUCUGACCAUACUACCCUAAGUUAGCUUACUGCCCUAACUUAGAUUUACACCAGCUUCAAAUGCUGAGCUGAAAGCACGCACACAGAGGUGCAUGCACCAGGUUGUGUGAGCGACUGAAGACGCUUGGACAGCAGUGUGGAGAAUGGCAAUUUUAAGAACUUCUCCAUUGGAAAGCAAAAAUGAGUUGAAGCCAUCUGUUUCAGAAAGAACACUUCUGCAGAAUGUAGAACACUUCUAUAGAAGUUUCUGUUCCACGGAAAACCUGAAUGUUGCUAACCCUUCUGAGAACCACUAAUUAACUCCAAUUUCUACUACUCUUGGCAGAUGUUCAGGGUGCUCAGCAUCUCACAAGGAUUUUACCAUGAAUCUCACCAGAAUGGAGCAUCUAAUUUAACCCAAACAAAAUUAAUUUGCUGUGUUGAAUCUGAGGCAGCAACCAUCUCACGAGAGAGAGUCUAACCUAUAAAAGAAUAGCUACAGUGCAGAGCUUGGGUAUCCUCAGGACACAACGACGGGACCAAAUGAGGAUACAGAGUGCAGGAUCUGCAAAUUAAAAUGCUUCAAUUUUCACAGACUUUCACAAGCCUUAAAUGGAGUUACCUCCCCUGCAUCAAUGGAAGUGAAAGGAGAAUUUUGUUCCCUGAUCUGUUAUGAACAUAUAAUCAAACAAAGAAUUUGGCUGCGGGCCUUUUUGACGGCAUUUUAUAUUAUACUUUAUUAGAAGGAGUCACGAGUUGAAGUGAAUAAUUCUGCCUGAGGGAGGAAAUUGGGUACAUACAGUGUGCAGAUACAAGCCUAGUUCUGAAAAUUCACAAACCCAUCAGAACCGAUGGCACCAUCUUAUUUCUUAAAUCCAAAGAAGAACACCACUCCGUACUCCUGUUGUACUGAAUCCAUCCGGAGUUCUCUACCGCUUGGUAUGUAAAGCUGUGCUUUGAGGAGGG